CACGUGCUCUAUCACAUUGAGAGUGUGGGGAUAUUAAGAUCUGAUGAAAGAAUACAUCCCAUUUAUCAUUGUGUUAUUUAUAUGAGGAUGGUCAAUUAGACAAAGUUACUGAUUGUUUCUCAUUGUAUCUCUCCUCUAUAGGAUGAUCCCUCUGCAAUGUAUUCCACGGUUGCAGACAGAAACACUGGUUUAGGUGACAAGACAACCACACCACUCAUUACACCAGAUGAUGAUCCCUAUGCAAUGUUUCUGUGUGAACCGCAGCAUACAUCAACCAAGAGGAGACAACAACACUCUACAGUGCACCAGUAAGAGAUGAUCAAUCAGUGAUAUACUGCACCAUUGUCCACAUGAAAGGAAAAGGGAAGGCAGCAGUGAGUCUGGAGAACAGUGGAGAAUUUGUGUUUAUUUAACCUUUAUUUAACUAGGCAAGUCAAUUAAGAACAAAUUCUUAUUUACAAUGACGGCCAGAGUAGGUCAGCAUUAAGAUGGGCAGAUCCUCCUAGAACCAUUAUACAGUAUGUGUGGUUAUUGUUACCAUGUAUUGCUUAACUGUAAAUAUGUUUCACUCUUCACAUUCAAAUCUUGAUCUUACAACGCAUUUAAAAUACCAUAUGAUAGAAUUCAAAUUUGCUACAAAUUACAUUAUGUAUUUUGUCUUUCACUU